CGGCGAGUGAAGCGGCAACAGCUCAAAUUUGAAAUCUGGCUUCGGCCCGAGUUGUAAUUUGCAGAGGAAGCUUUAGGCGCGGCACUUUCUGAGUCCCCUGGAACGGGGCGCCAUAGAGGGUGAGAGCCCCGUAUAGUUAGAUGCCUAGCCUGUGUAAAGCUCCUUCGACGAGUCGAGUAGUUUGGGAAUGCUGCUCAAAAUGGGAGGUAAAUUUCUUCUAAAGCUAAAUACCGGCCAGAGACCGAUAGCGCACAAGUAGAGUGAUCGAAAGAUGAAAAGCACUUUGAAAAGAGGGUUAAAUAGCACGUGAAAUUGUUGAAAGGGAAGCGCUUGUGACCAGACUUGCGCCGGGCAGAUCAUCCGGUGUUCUCACCGGUGCACUCUGCCCGGCUCAGGCCAGCAUCGGUUCUCGCGGGGGGAUAAAGGCCCUGGGAACGUAGCUCCUCCGGGAGUGUUAUAGCCCGGGGCGUAAUGCCCUCGCGGGGACCGAGGUUCGCGCAUCUGCAAGGAUGCUGGCGUAAUGGUCAUCAGCGACCCGUCUUGAAACACGGACCAAGGAGUCAAGGUUUUGCGCGAGUGUUUGGGUGUAAAACCCGCACGCGUAAUGAAAGUGAACGUAGGUGAGAGCUUCGGCGCAUCAUCGACCGAUCCUGAUGUUUUCGGAUGGAUUUGAGUAGGAGCGUUAAGCCUUGGACCCGAAAGAUGGUGAACUAUGCUUGGAUAGGGUGAAGCCAGAGGAAACUCUGGUGGAGGCUCGCAGCGGUUCUGACGUGCAAAUCGAUCGUCAAAUCUGAGCAUGGGGGCGAAAGACUAAUCGAA
rnacentral:rRNA from 1 species